AUUGAACGCUGGCGGCAGGCCUAACACAUGCAAGUCGAGCGGAUGAAGGGAGCUUGCUCCUGGAUUCAGCGGCGGACGGGUGAGUAAUGCCUAGGAAUCUGCCUGGUAGUGGGGGAUAACGUCCGGAAACGGGCGCUAAUACCGCAUACGUCCUGAGGGAGAAAGUGGGGGAUCUUCGGACCUCACGCUAUCAGAUGAGCCUAGGUCGGAUUAGCUAGUUGGUGGGGUAAAGGCCUACCAAGGCGACGAUCCGUAACUGGUCUGAGAGGAUGAUCAGUCACACUGGAACUGAGACACGGUCCAGACUCCUACGGGAGGCAGCAGUGGGGAAUAUUGGACAAUGGGCGAAAGCCUGAUCCAGCCAUGCCGCGUGUGUGAAGAAGGUAUUCGGAUUGUAAAGAACUUUAAGUUGGGAGGAAGGGCAGUAAGUUAAUACCUUGCUGUUUUGACGUUACCAACAGAAUAAGCACCGGCUAACUUCGUG
rnacentral:rRNA from 1 species